GACGAACCGUGCGAACGUUAUUCGGAAUCACUGGGCUUAAAGCGCGUGUAGGCGGGUCGGCACGUCGGUCGCUGAAAUCCCCCGGCUCAACCGGGGAAGGGGCGCCGAUACGGCCGGCCUCGAGGGGAGUAGGGGGACCUGGAACUUCCGGUGGAGCGGUGAAAUGCGUUGAGAUCGGAAGGAACGCCCGUGGCGAAAGCGAUCGACUGGACCUUUUCUGACGCUGAGGCGCGAAAGCCAGGGGAGCAAACGGG
rnacentral:rRNA from 1 species